GGAGUUUUCCGGCGGAGAGAGAGAGGUGGCCUGGUGGAGAGAAGGCUGAGCGCCGGUGGAGCAAAGGCUGAGCACCGGAGGAGCUGGCCGGAAAGGGGAACGCCGGCGGAGAGAACUAAAAGAUUAUUAUUAUUAUUUUUUGAGUUUAAGCUUUAGAAUUUGAUUCUCCCUUGUGUUUGCAGAUGCAUGAUAAGGCUGUGAAACUAUAUGCUGAACUAGCAGAAACCGCUGUGAAUAGCUUCCUGAUCUCAAAGGACUCUCCCGUGGUGGAACCAACUAGGAUCCACAGCGGGACUGAAGAAAACAAAGGCGCUCUAAGGAAAUCACGAGGGGAGGAGGAUGAGGAUUUUCAGAUAUUGGAGUAUCAAGCGCAGAAAGGCAAUGCUGCGGCUAUGUACAAGAUUGGACUGUUCUACUACUUUGGUCUGCGAGGGUUAAGGCGUGAUCACACCAAGGUGUUGCACUGGUUUUCGAAGGCGGUGGAGAAAGGAGAGCCGAGGUCUAUGGAGCUAAUUUUGUUUCCUCAUGUAGUCGUAUAAUUUUCAUUUGUAUCUCUAUUUUCGUUACAUGUUCUAUUAAAUUUGAAAUUUUCAGGCAUAAAGUUAAAUGCAAUAAACAUUGUUUCAGUCGGUCGCCUCCUCUGCCUCUGGGAUUCGCAUAACAUCAAAAAGAAUGAUGAAUUUAUGGGAAUCAGCCUCCUCUUACUAGAUGAACAGAUGUAGUUGGCCAAAUCCUUUCCGUUCAAGGCUCUGAUCUGAACAACUCUGCAGCAACAACUCGACUUGCCGUCCGUUUCCUCACUGACCCGUAAUCUCUAUGACUCUAUCUAAACUCAACACCAGCAACAAAAUUUUACUUUGACAACACCAUUCAUGCUACCAAAGAGUUUACAAACAGCUUUGUGGUGCUGCAGCGGAGGUCUUUCCCGACUUGAUACCAUGGAAGGAAGAAAAAAAAAGAGUUCGUAUCAAUUGGAGAACUUCACACGUUCAUUGCCAACUCCAGUGAACAGGUAAAACUCACGCUUUCAACAAUCUUUAGUACUCCUAUGUGGCUUCAAAAUAGUAACAAGUAAUGUUAGGACUUUUCUCCCCAUGAAGACAGAAGAAGCUGAUUUUCUCUGUAAGGGUCAGAUUGUGGGAGUCGUCCAGCAAAAUGGCUUGUCGUUUGUAUCUUGCACAGGUUGCAACAUGAAGCUCGCAAAAUCUCUCUGGUGCAACAGAUGUGUUUCUCCUAAUGCACCGGGGUCAUCGGGUAUGUACUGUUCUUCCCGAUCCAUAUUUAAAGGAACACCCUAAUUUGAAUAUAUGUGCACGUUUGACGUACUCUCUCUGCUGUUCUGUUUGAUGACGGAAAGGAAAGUGCAACUUUUGUUGUCUUUGACAGGGAGAUGAUCAAACUCAUCAAAAAAUAGGCAAAGUCUGGCUCCUGCGUAGAUACGUUUUAACUUCUUAGAUUGGUUUUAAAAAAUUUUCCCUUACUCUAAAUGCCCCCACAAACGCCAAGCCUACUACAGAUUAGUGGCAGUGGGAGGAAUGGAGCUACCAAAAUGCCUUGAGGAGCUAGCUGGUAAUGGAUACCUUUUCAGCUACGUGUAACUCCAUAUAAUUUCACCUCCAACCACCACACAUUCACCGUUUCGGCCAUUAGUGACAACCUCUUCUUUUACCCUCAGGUAGAGGUGUGAUAAUCUACGUUUCACACUCUUUGUUCUGAUUUAAUGUCCCACUGUUUUGUAGAGUGGCACAGCAACAAAGCUCCAGUCGUGGAUCUCAAAUCUGGACAACCAACAGCAUUUGCCAGCUCCGCUGGUGAUGCGGCGAAGAUAGCACUAGGAAAUGAUGGAGCAAAUCAGCCAGGUUCUGCAGACUGCAGGCAACGACAAAACCCGCAAACGCCCACGUGAGUGAUAGUAUCAAGGCUAUCAAACCGUCAACUCCACUUAGCUUUUGUCUCAUUUUAAUUUAUUAUAUCCAUAUAUUUUCCCUACUUUGAACUUUGGUUCUUUGGAUUUUCUGAAAAUUUCUCUUAAAGAAUUAAAUAAUUAAAGUAACGUUGACGUGUCUUUGAUUGUCCGUAGCUUUAUGAAUGUUCAGCUCUGAUGUCAACAUUGCAUUAACGUAGGUACCUGUUAACAAGCAUGUUGUGUUGCUAAUAUAUCUAUGAUGAACAACCAAAGAGGUCAACGAUUCACAGUAAUAAUACUAAAACCAUACUCAAUAGAUGUAUAUUACUGUCGUAACCCUAAUUUGUUCUUCACCCACCUUUCGACUUCCACCUUUUCCAUUUCUCUUCUCUCCAAAUCUGUUUCGACGAGUAAUUUCAAAACUAAUCAAACAAUGUAGUGAAUUAGUACUGGUGGUCAAAAUACCAUUCAAAAUAUUUAAACUAGUUCGUAAAAAUAUAUACUACUCCAAGAUUCAAACGGAAAUGGAAAAAAUACAAAAAUCACAUCAUACCAUAUAUAAGAUCAAAAUAGGUGACAUGAGAAUAAAAUAACAACAAGAUAAUAUAUAGUGUAAUAAGAUAAAAACUGAAAAGUCAGAUAUACAAACCGCGCAUAGCAUCAUUAACAAAAAUAAUAUAACAACAGUUGAAUCCAAUAACAUCAACCAUAACCCUUCUUUAAAAAUGGAAACUUCUGAUAUAUACAUAUAACUAGAAAUUAGCAUUGCAAGUUUAAUUCAACUUAAUAAUAUUAUAGGAAAAAAUCUGGGCGUAGCCCGGACAAACCCUCUAGUAAUAGGAAAAAUAAAAACUUUAAGCAAAAGAUCUUACGAGCCUUAAUUUUCUUAAACUGAUAAAAAAAAAUCCCUACAUUCUCUCCGAUCACUAUCACCACGUUCGUUCAAAGGGAAGUCAUGCCAUCUAUAUAUUUUUUUUUUUUGAAACACAAACUUUCAUUAAAACUCAAAUUCAAAGACUACAAAGCCAAAAGGGAAUUAAACAUCCUCUUGGAGACAAUUCGUGAACUACAAUAGCAAAUAGAAUCAAGCAUGAUAAAUCUUCAGUUGACAGCGAAUUCAAUACCAAGAUUGAAUGCGUCGAUAAAGCUUGCAUGACAAAGUCGGACAGCAGAGAAAUAGUCACAAGUGACGUUGAGAGACAGUCCUCACCAACGAGAAAAACCGAAGUAGUCUCGAUUGCACCUUCAGGCCCCGUACAGACCGCUCCACAAGGUAACAAACCGGUGAGUAAACUGAAAUUAAAGCUCGGAAAAGAAUCCGAG